GGUCAUUGUCCAUUUGGAAAACCCAUUUGUGACCAAGCUUUAACUUCCUGACUGAUGUCUUGAAAUUUUGCUUCAAUAUAUCCACAUUAUUUUCCUGCUUCAUGAUGCCAUCUAUUUUGUGAAGUGCACCGGUCUCUCCUGCAGCAAACGACCCUCACCACAUGAUGCUGCCACCCCCGUGCACAUGGUUGGGAUGGUGUUCUUUGGCUUGCAAAAUUCUGAGGUCUUGGCUGAUUUCUUUUGAUUUUCCCAUUAUGUCAAGCACAGAGGCACUGAGUUUGAAGGUAGGCCUUGAAAUACAACCACAGGUACACCUUCAAUUGACUCAAAUUAUGUCAAUUAGCCUAUCAGAAGCUUCUGAAGCCAUGACAUCAUUUUCAGGAAUUUCCCAAGCUGUUUAAAGGCACAGUCAACUUAGUGUAUGUAAACUUCUGACCCACUGGAAUUGUGAUACAGUGAAUUAUAAGCGAAAUGAUCUGUCUGUAAGCAAUUGUUGGAAAAAUUACUUGUGUCAUGUACAAAGUAGAUGUCCUAACCGACUUGCCAAAACUAUAGUUUGUUAACAAAAACAUGUGUGUAGUGGUUGAAAAACUAGUUUUAAUGACUCCAACCUAAGUGUAUGUAAACUUCCGACUUCAACUGUAGCUGAUAUCUGUGCCGUCUGAAACUAGCCGUCUGCUCCCAGCCAAAGCCGCGGGAAGUAGGUGCUGCAGCACCCCCUGAAAAAUCAUCACCACACCUCCACCCCCAAACAUCUUCCCACGGCUGUGCUCCCAGCCCCAAGCCAUUGCUGAGGUGAUGUGUUGCACAGCACAUUGAACAGUACAGCACAUUGAACAGUACAGCACAUUGAACAGUACAGCACAUUGAAAGUAAGCCAUAAUGAGCAGUGUUAUGAGUCAGAGUACAUGGACUAGAUCAUUAACACAGGACCAGUUCAGUCUUAGGUCCAUUCAUUCAAUUCAACAACUCAUGUAUUGGCCAUAGUUACACAUAUCAUUGAUGUCAAUGAAGUCUCACCCUCAUACAGUGAUGAUCUCGUAGAUGAAUAAGCAAUAUUGGAAUUAUAUGCAAAGCCAUGAAUCAGGAAAUGAAUGUGUCUGCGGUAUGUAGAUGUAUUUGUGUGUCGGUGUGUGUGUGUGCACGCACGUGUGUCUCUCUGUGUGUGUUUCUUGCUACUUGUGUAACAUAAUUUUGUGUUUUAUGCUUGUUCUACCAUAGAAUAGAUGAGAUUGUAUUUGGGAAACUGUCUACAUACAUAAAUUGGGUUCUAGGACUUUUAGUCCCUAGUUCUGUCCAAUAACAUUCACAGAACCAUAUGGUUGAUUUCAUUACUCCAGUCAUUUUUCUUAAUUAUGUUAUUUUAUUUUUAUGCUUUACAGAUUAAUUUGAAAUGUAGAUAAGUUAGUCCUUUUAGAAUGACUGCAUUUAAUCAUCAAAAAGUCCACAAGUGAGAUAUUCCACCCAGUUCCUCUAUAAACAUAUCUUCUUGCCCCAAGGAUGACUGUACACAAUCUGACUUAAAUAAAGGAGCAGGGUAUUUAUGCUCAUAAUGUCUCAAACUCCACAUCUACAGUGUAUUCAGAUCGCACACCUUCGGCACAGCAGUGUGUGGACUUGUAAAAGUCUGUGGUUGUAAAGCAUUAACAUGGAUCUCAGGCUGAGUAAGACUUCCAGGGUAAGGAAUGGAUUUGGAGUUAAUCCCCAGUGUGCAUUGAGACCAUUAGUUAUUCUGAAAGAGUGAUUUACACCUUCACGUCAUCAGCCACUGCACAGGCCUACAUCUUACUCAGUACUCAGCCAGGACCUCUUGGAGUAGGGGGAGAAUUUGCCUAUAUAGUCACACCCUGAUGCAUAAACCUCAACCCUCACUGCAGCACAGUUCACAUAGCCACUCUAGUGAGAAAUCUGAUAGCACUUGUUUAAAACAAAAGCCAUAUUUAGUGUCUAUAGGCUAUUUUUGUAGGUGUGUGUGUGCGUGUGUGGCCUCAGAAUGCUACGGAGGACCCUGUCACUAGCUAGGUUUCCAUCCAAUUGGCAACAGAUUUCCAUGUGAAUAUUCUAAAAUCCGCAUAAAAUCUAUAUGCACAUUUUCCAACCAGAGAUGUGUUUCCAUCAAAUUGACUUGCAGAUAAGUCUGUGCGCACAUAAAAAUAACUUGCCCAGUUAAAUUUCCAUGUACCAAAUAAAAAAUACAAGGUAAAUGGGUUUCCAUCGCAUUUUCAACUCUACUGAUGGCUUUGUAACAAUACAUCACGUGCGCUCUAUCAAAUCAAAUUUUAUUUGUCAC
rnacentral:lncRNA from 1 species